CCUGCCCCUAGAGGCAGGGCCGGCGUGGCUGCUGGCUCACCCAUGCAUCAGAAGGUGUUGGAGAGGAAAGAGGCUACGCCUAUGCUCAGUGUUCUGUAAGAACGUCGAGCCUGAGAUGACCACCAGGC